AGCGACCGACCUGCACACCGCAGCCAAGGACAGAUGAACAACCCCUGAACCGUGCCUCUUUCCCUUUCCUUUUUACCCAGGAAUUUCUGCAAGGAGACUGUUCGAAAGCCAAACAAAAGCUCAACUGGAAACCCCGAGUCACUUUUGAUGAGCUGGUGAAGGAGAUGGUGGAAGCCGAUGUGGAGCUGAUGAAAAACAACCCCAUAGCCUAAACCUACUGGUCUCCUCACUGGGGAGAAGACAUUCCGGAGAGGCUCACCCUUGGCGUGUUAUCAACCAAUCAAGCAACCAAUCAAUCAACUAACCAAUCAGUCGGGGCGGGCAGGGCUGUGGACCUCAAAGAUGGGCAGCCCAGCCCAUCUUGGGCAGGAUGGGGGAGGAAACGCUGGCAUCGAUUGAUUUUUCUGCCCUAUCGUGAAAAGAAGCUUUCCCGCUUCGUGGGUUGUGGGUGGGGAAGGGGAGGGGGGGCGGAGGGGGUCCGUGUUUAUAGGUUUAGGAUUGAGAAGAUGCAACCACUCUCCUACUUGAUCUUCUUUUAGAAGCCGCAUCGGAAAGGUUUUCGUGACGUUUUAAUCACACAUCAUUCACUUUAACUGAAAUUAUGAUGUUAAACAGAAAUUGUGAGGGCUUCAAAUCGUUUUCAUAUUAAAAAAAA